GACGAACGCUGGCGGCGUGCCUAACACAUGCAAGUCGAACGGAGAUACUUUUGAAGCUUGCGAUGAAGUAUCUUAGUGGCGGACGGGUGAGUAACGCGUGGGUAAUCUGCCCAUAAGCGGGGAACAACAGUUGGAAACGACUGCUAAUACCGCAUAAUCUACCUUAGGGUAGGAAAGGUGGCCUCUGAAUAUGCUGCCGCUUAUGGAUGAGCCCGCGUCUGAUUAGCUGGUUGGUGGGGUAAAGGCCUACCAAGGCGACGAUCAGUAGCCGGCCUGAGAGGGUGAACGGCCACACUGGGACUGAGACACGGCCCAGACUCCUACGGGAGGCAGCAGUGGGGAAUAUUGCGCAAUGGGGGAAACCCUGACGCAGUGACGCCGCGUGAGCGAAGAAGGCCUUAGGGUUGUAAAGCUCUGUUUUAGGGGACGAAUGUCGUGGUCAGUAAUAUGGACUACGAAUGACGGUACCCUAAGAGGAAGCCCCGGCUAACUACGUGCCAGCCGCCGCAGUAAUAC
rnacentral:rRNA from 1 species